CCCCGCAAAAGUGGAACAUUCCAGACGAUAUUUAAGGGCUCUGCAGGGCCGCUGGUGGCUCAGAGCUGCUCUGGGUCGUAGGGAGGGUCGUAGUCGGGGCAGGUAACGAUAGAGCAGGUGGGGGCGGCGGAGACAAGGUAGAGGGGAGGCGGGCUGAUGGGGGAGGCCUGGAUGGUCGCGGCGGUGUAGGAUGCGGCCCGGGAAAGGCGCCGGCCCGGCCAUCUCCUGAGGAGGGAGAUAAACAAGCCCUUAACUCUUCAUGCUCCGGAGCAAGAGCUGCAGUCACUGGGGGGCCUGUCAUUGCUGCCCUCAGCACAGCAUCGUUCUCCUACGCGGGCUGAAGAUGACACUGAACAUACGGGCCGGCACUGCAUUGGUUUGGAGGGUGAAAUGAUGGGGCCAAACUGAAAUUUUCACUUGUCGAGCCCAGUCAAGACUGGCACAAAGUUUGGCAACAUGUCAUAUACUUCUUAAUGAGAAGACAAAUGAGUCGCCCUUCCUAGACAUCAUGAUCUCCAUGAUUACAGAACAAUUACAAAAACAAAGUCUGGAGGACCUAAAAUGCAAAUCUUUCAGUAUAAGCCUGCCACUGCCUGAUCAUCCAGACCCUGAGGCGUGCAGCAGUCCUUACCAUUUUGUGACAG